AGAGAUGAGACCAUGCAGCCUGCAAAACCGUCUUUUCUUGAAUACUUUGAACAAAAAGAAAAGGAAAAUCAGAUCAACAGCUUUGGCAAGAAUGUAUCUGGCUCUCUGAAGAAUUCUUCAGAUUGGAAAAUACCUCAGGAUGGAGACUACGAGUUUGUGAGUAGAGCUGAGGUUGAACGGUGGUGCUCCUGGAAGGGCGGGGUCUGUGGUGUUGCUCAUCCUGUCCGGUCAGCUCACAGGCCUUGAGCAUUUUUGAACCAAGUUUGAGUCCCCGUAACUGCCCUUGGCAGCAGCUCCAGGGCCAAGGACCUCACUAGUUUGAGACAACACUUUUACUGACAUGUGAAAAGUUCUGGGAUCCCUGACAUUUUUUCCCUUUAAAAAAUCCUUCAUCCACUUUCUAUUUGCUGUAUUGUCCAGGUUGAAAUGAUUAGGGAUAAAAGAUGUAUGUGAUAACCAAAUGAGGAGGCAGCUGUCUUUAGUGGUUCAUUAAGGAGUGCGAUCUUUCAC
rnacentral:lncRNA from 1 species